GGUGGGAGAUGGCUGCCAACACCUCUAACUCCACGAAUAGGAAUACUUCGUGGAGCUGGUCGUGUCCAAGAACCCCUUACACGUCCAGUUGUGCGCCCAGGCCAAUAAUCAGUACGACUAGCAUGUUUUCCUUUGCCUCUUUGCAAUGGUCUGGAUAAUCUAGCCCUUACUUUAGCCUAGUAAACAAGGGAAUUGAAGAAAAUAAAUGUUUCGGAAAUAGGAACCUCUGAAGUACUGUAGAAAGUCGAUACCAUUAAUUCCUCAAAACAAAUAUAUACCUUGUUGUCCCCUUCACCAAGCUCUGAGUUGUUGAUGCUCUUUGCACAGGAAACCGCAGCAUCAUGUGUGUCAAAUGUAACAAAGCCAAAAUCCUUUCUCUUCGCCGAAGGCAUAUUUCGAGCAAGCUCAAUUUUCUCAAUCUCCCCAUACUUCUUUAGAAGUCCUCGAACAAAUUCUUCAUCCCAUGAGGCAGGGAGACUAUCAACAAAAACAGUCUUGACCUGUUUGUGUGACAAAAAAACAAUUGCAGAACAUUGAACAUUACAACAAAAGCAAUAUGAAAAACAAUAUUUGAAUAUCAACUACAUGUAAUGAAAGAUGGACGUAAAUACAUGUAGAAAAAUAACAAAUACCCACCCCCAGUCAACUGGACAUUUGAUGACCCAAAAAAAUACAGCAUGAAAAGAUAAGAGAAACCAUACAAAACAAAUACCCCCCCUUCCCCACCUUUAUGGUAACUAUCUUGUAAAGUAAUGAAAAGCUCCAUAUUCUAUAUCCAGGAAACAUAUUCUCAUAAUCUUGAAAGAUUAAAACAAAGCUGGUGGGCACCAAUAAUUUAAUUCCAAUAGGUUAAUGUGCCAGAAAAAUUGGAUACAGAACACUUCAAUUGAAGAAUUUCAAUUAAUUAUCUCAAUGCUAACCUGUGCCAUAAUUUCAUCACCAGGAUCUAUAAAAGAAUCAGCAAACGACACUUUGGCAGGCCUAUCAACUCCAAAUACAACAUCCCUUUUUUGAAGACGCUUGAAGGCAUCCAUAGCAUCUGAACGAGAUGAAAAUUCCAAAAAGGCAAAUCCACGAUUUGAUCCUUCAUUAUUACUAUCCUCUACCAGUGUCAGAUCCUCAACAUUAUCAACUCCAUAAUGUUUCAACUUCUCCUUCAGCUGGAUCCAUAUACAUUUAUCAUAAUGUCAGGAUAUUCAUAACUCCUCGUUACAAAAAAAAACUCACUGAUCAAUAGAAUUUGAUAAAUCCAUUAACUUACAGCAUCCUUUUUCCAUGUCUUGCAUAUGUUACCAAGAAAAAGGGUGUCGCUAUCUUGACUUGGAGUCACACCACAUUGUUUACCAUUAAUCUGGAAUUUCAUUAAUUGAGAUAAAAUAAACUUUUGGUAUGUCCAAAUCUUACCGUUGCCUUAAGUAAACAUGAAAGGAUUUAAAAAAAAAGCUUAAAUACCACAGGAUUCUUCAGCUCUGACACAGCUCGUUUUGCCUCUUCCACAGUAGCAAAACGUAAGAAUGCAAAACCUUUGUUCUUCUUUGUCUGCGGAUUCAUCAUUAGCCUGACUUCAGUGACUUCACCAACUGCACUGAAAACUUUCUUCAAAUCCUCCUCUUUUACGUCCUUGUCCAAGCCACCAACAAACACUUCAAACUCCUUGCGUUUACGCCUCUCUUUAACAACUUCAUGAUGCUCAUCCUCAUCGGCAUCAACCAUGCCAGCGUGCUCAUGGUCUUCACCACCUUGCUGAUCAUCAUCCUCCCCCUCAAGAUCCUCCUGAGCAUCCUCAACAUCCUCUUCAACCAUAUCACCUUCCUCAUCCCCCACAUUGUCCUCAGGCUCCCCCUCCCCAUCUACCACUUCCUGAACAUCCUCCUGUUCAAUUUCUUUUUCAUCAUACUCAAACCCUCCAUCCUCAUCAGGUUCUGAUUCGGGAUCGUUAUCUUCGAGAUCCAAGCGCUCGUCCUUCCCAUAUUCUUCAUCCUUUACUUCUUCUUCUUCUGAAACGAGAUGUAGAUUGAAGAUCUAUCCCGGUCAACAAACUCACUCGAGAAAACACACCGGGUAUAUUAAAAAUGAAGAACCAAAGCGUAGUACUGAAACUUGGCAUAGAAAAACUUACAGCUUCUCGUCAAGGUACGAAAACAUAAUACAUACAAAACUCAGACUAUUAGCUAAGGAGAUGAUAGCAAUUUAAGACAAUGAAAUUCCCAAAAAAACAUAAUUAACUUGUAUCACACAUAUAAAUAAGAACCCCAACAAUAAUUACUAACCCUAACGGCGACGUGCCCGAAUUUAGAGGACAGUACUUACUUUUAGGAGGAACAGAUUGUUUCGAAUCCGAUCUGACUUCGCGCGAAGAUUCGACCUCCCCAACGUCUACAGC
rnacentral:lncRNA from 1 species